rnacentral:rRNA from 1 species
CUUGCCUCCAUAAGAGGUCCAGCCUGCCCAGUGACCUAGUUCAACGGCCGCGGUAUCCUAACCGUGCGAAGGUAGCGUAAUCACUUGUCUUCUAAAUAAAGACUAGUAUGAAAGACACCACGAGAACUUAACUGUCUCCCUUUUCUAAUCAGUGAAACUAAUCUCCCCGUGAAGAAGCGGGGAUCUUCAAAUUAGACGAGAAGACCCUAUGGAGCUUUAAACACUAACCACUUGCCCACACAUUAAUUACCCAGGUUUCCUCAAUCAACGCAAUAUGAUUACGUGUUUUUGGUUGGGGUGACCGCGGAAAAUAACUAAACUUCCACAAUGAUAACCAUCCAAACUAUAAGCUACAGCUUUAAGUAUCAACAAAUUGACAUUCAUUGACCCAAUAUAUUGAUUAAUGAAC